UACGUAGGGUGCGAGCGUUAAUCGGAAUUACUGGGCGUAAAGCGUGCGCAGGCGGCGCGUUAAGACAGGUGUGAAAGCCCCGAGCUUAACUUGGGAAUUGCGCUUGUGACUGGCGUGCUGGAGUGUGGCAGAGGGAGGUGGAAUUCCACGUGUAGCAGUGAAAUGCGUAGAGAUGUGGAGGAAUACCGAUGGCGAAGGCAGGUCUCUGGGCCGAUACUGACGCUGAGAAGCGAAAGCAUGGGGAGCGAACAGG
rnacentral:rRNA from 1 species